GGCGCACUUUAAUGAGGACCUUGGUCAUGAUCAUGCGAUGAUCUGUCCAGCACUCCGCACCUCUCAUGGCCCGGGUUAUGAGAACGUCUCUUGCUGGAAGAUGGUGUUGGUUAUGGUCAGGUUGUGCUCAGAGCAGAGGGUAAGUGACCUCAUGCCAUUUGAGUUGGCCUGACCAAUCCCAUGCCUGCCAAGUACUCCUUUCCGCAUCCCACUGUUCUUCCCAACACGGGCAGUGAAGUCUCCAAGCAGGAGGAUCUUGUUGUUCUUGGGGAUCUGGUGGAGAGCCUCAUCCACUGUUUGGUAAAAAGAGUCUUUAGACUCACUGUCAGACGGUAGAGUUGGAGCAUACACACUUAGAAGUGUGGCAUAGCGGUUCUUCACCAGGGGGAUACGGAGGGUCAUCACUCUUUCACUGAUGCCCACAGGAGUUUCAGUGAGUCUUGGCAGUCUUCUUUCUUAAUUGCCAGUCCCACACCAUGCAGAUGUCUCCUGGACUCCUAUAGCAGGUCUGAAAGACCCCACAGAACAACAGCGCUGGUUACAGCCGAGCCGCACCGCUAUGAUAUUGACAUUGCUGCCCUGAGUGAAACAAGGCUCCUUGAUGAGGGGUCUCUAACAGAGGAGGACAUGGGCUACACCUUCUACUGGAAAGGCUAUCCCACAGGUGGACAACAUCUGCAAGGUGAGGUCUCAGUGUGUUCAACACAAACAGUAAGAGCUGAACUGGUUUGACCUUUCACCUGUUCACCAGCAUCACGCUGAGCUCGUAUGAGCAUGAAGAAGGUUUACUGCAGGAGCGCUCCUGUUCCUGUCUGAAGGCAGUUUGUGAACCUGAUUUUUAACGAUUAGUUCGUUUGACUCAGAUGUGAUUCAUUAUUUAAACGAGUCUGUAAUGAACUCCAGUGUCAUAUUAACAGAGUUAUUCUGGGACUGCGAUGCUUCAUCUCUCUGGAGACUCUAACUUUAACUGUCUUCUCACACAUAUCUACCACAUCCAUGAGUCACCAGCAUCCUCUCAGAAGAUCUCACAGUAUUCAUCAUAAAACUGUCCACCUGUUAGAUCUGGAAACUAGUCACAUGGAACAGAAUUAUAUGAUUUAAUAAUAAUAAUUAAAUAAAAAAAAAUUAACUGUAAUCUUUUCCAAAUGAUGUGAAACACUGUGUAAUUAAAUCACAGCUACUUACAGAUUGAA